GUGGGCUGCCCCCUUCUCUUCUCCUACUGGGACAGGCUGUUCCGGUAGCGAUCACGUGCCUGGGGGUUGUUUUGGUGUCUUGUUUUAUAAUGAGGGAGAUCAGAGUAGGUUUUAUUUUAUUUUGUCAAAUAUUGAGCUGAAAAAUUGCUGAAACUUUAUUUUACCUGGUGGCCAUUUUUCUCUGAGUUCGAUUCAGAUUCAGGUUCACUGAGGAAGAGGAAAAAUGAUGGUUUAAGUCUGGUUCCAGUUCAGUUAAGCAGAUCAGUUCAACCUGGUUCUCUGGUUCUGUUCUGGUGUGAGUCCAGGCUGAGGAAUCACGUCUGCGUUUUGAUCCAGAUCGUCCUGUCUUCCAGGGGACAGAGAAGGGAAAUGGCUGUGAUGGAGCCAGCUCAGAUGCCGGUGACCUUCGA